GCUGGGCGAAGGCUCCGAGCCACGAGACCCCCGCCUCCUGUCCCGGGACCCACCCAGGCGGAGGCAAGGGCAGGGGCGCUGGGGGCCCAGAGAGAGGGCGCCGCGAUGGAUGAAUGAGCUGUUUCCAGCAUUCCUGCUUCAACUCAAAAUUUUCCUUCAUGGCACAGUGGAAAGCUUUGAAGACGGCGGUUCUGGGGCUGAAUAUGAAGGCAACUCGGACUAAGAAGACGACUGCUUUCCAACUGCCCUCCCGUCCUGCAGCCGCCUGAUUUGAGGAAGGGGCUGGGAUCCUUCCCCUUGCCCUCUGGUUGUUCUUGGAGUUACAGCAGCCCCGCGGCAGCUCUGCCCCCUAGUGCACAUGUGAGGCAGCGCGCCCUUCUCCAAUCCAGAAGCCUCGUCGCGGUGCUGCCAGCAAGGGAGUUUUUCUGUAUUCACUUUGGUGGAAAUAGCAAAACUUGACAGAAAAAAAACCCAAGCCAAACCAAAACACACGAACCAUUCUAGCCUUUUCUCUCUUUCGUUUCUUUCUGAGGAUCUGGCCGAUUUGGAUGCAGAAAACAUGCCUGUUGCUUCUGCUGCGAAAUCUGCUCUUUCUCUUCCUGCUAUCGGAACCCUGUCCCUUCUUUCAAAGCCUAAUUCAGGCCAGGCGCGGUGGCUCACGCCUGUAAUCCCAGCACUUUGGGAGGCCGAGACAGACGGAUCACUUGAGGUCAAGAGUUUGAGACCAGCCUGGCCAAAAUGGUGAAACCCUGUCUCUACUAAAAAUACAAAAAUUAGCUGGACAUGGUAGCACACGCCUGUAAUCCCAGCUACUCGGGAGGCUGAGGCAGGAGAAUCACUUGAACCCGAGAGACGGAGGUUACAGUGAGCUGAUAUCAGGCCACUGCACUCCAGCCUGGGUGACAGAGUGAGACUCCAUCUCAAAAAAAAAAAAAAAAAA
ensembl:lncRNA LINC01220 long intergenic non-protein coding RNA 1220